rnacentral:rRNA from 1 species
GACAGAGGAUGCAAGCGUUAUCCGGAAUGAUUGGGCGUAAAGCGUCUGUAGGUGGCUUUUUAAGUCCGCCGUCAAAUCCCAGGGCUCAACCCUGGACAGGCGGUGGAAACUACCAAGCUGGAGUACGGUAGGGGCAGAGGGAAUUUCCGGUGGAGCGGGUGAAAUGCGUAGAGAUUGGAAAGAACACCGAUGGCGAAGGCACUUUACUGGGCUAUUACUAACACUGAGAGACGAAAGCUAGGGUAGCAAAUGGG